AUGACCUUCAUCAUCAUCUUCAUCUGGACUCUCACAGCGUUUGCUCAAGAGUGUAGAGGACAGAUCACCGUCACUCAGAGUCCCUCAAUGACAGCAGCUCAACCAGGACAAACUGUGAACAUCAACUGUAAAACCAGCAAAGAUGUGCCCAAUUGUAGUGGGAAUGAUAAAUGUAUAUCCUGGUACUUACAGAAACCUGGAGAAGCUCCUAAACUCCUGAUUUAUUAUACAAAAAGCCUCCAGUCAGGAACUCCAUCUAGAUUCAGUGGCAGUGGAUCUAACAGUGAUUUCACUCUGACCAUCAGUGGAGUCCAGACUGAAGAUGCUGGACAUUAUUACUGUCAGAGUUAUCACUACAUCAACAGUAACUGGGUGUUCACACAGUGAUAAAGAGUCGUACAAAAACCUCCGUCAGUCAGAGUCACAGUGACUGAACUGAUACUGCAGCUGCUCACACAC